GGGGGCGAAAGGAUUUCGACGUGGACGACUGAGUGCGCGUGGCAUGCCGACCCGUCAGCAAGUCGCUAAACUGUUGGCAAACCAUUAUUUGCCGAGCCUAUGGCUCUUGCUGCUUAAAUAAAAGCAGCACGUCGACCGGACGACGCCCGCUGAUCCGGAAGACGCCGCUAGCGGGCUGGCCGCUUUCAGUUCUCCCUGGCGCGAAGCGGUGAGAGACAGCAGGGAUAGUCCGGGAAAGAUCACUUCCCCGGGAGCUUUCGCGGACGAAUUUAAGUACGGGGAAUAAGCAUGUAGAAGCGCGUAUGAUGUGUUCGCGGACGGGAGUUCGAUUCUCCCCGCCUCCACAA
rnacentral:tmRNA from 1 species